GACGAACGCUGGCGGCGUGCUUAACACAUGCAAGUCGAACGAUGAAACCUAGCUUGCUAGGUCGAUUAGUGGCGAACGGGUGAGUAACACGUGACUAACCUGCCCCUUUCUCUGGGAUAACGCUCCGAAAGGAGUGCUAAUACCGGAUACUCACACCGAGGCACAUGCCUUGGUGUGGAUAGUUUUUCGGAAAGGGAUGGAGUCGCGGCCUAUCAGCUUGUUGGGGAGGUAACGGCUCACCAAGGCGACGACGGGUAGCCGGCCUGAGAGGGCGACCGGCCACACUGGGACUGAGACACGGCCCAGACUCCUACGGGAGGCAGCAGUGGGGAAUAUUGCACAAUGGGCGCAAGCCUGAUGCAGCGACGCCGCGUGAGGGAUGAAGGUCUUCGGAUUGUAAACCUCUUUCAGUAGGGACGAAGCGAAAGUGACGGUACCUAAAGAAGAAGCACCGGCUAACUACGUGCCAGCCGCCGCCGUAA
rnacentral:rRNA from 1 species